UUCAGCUACAGCGCUGAAUUCCCGCUUGCCGCCCAUGGGCGCACACAAAAGGCGAGCACAGGUUACCACAGCCUCCCAGGUAAGGACCAAAGCUGCUAUUUUUCAUCAUUAAGCGAAUAGGCCAUUCUUCUUCCUUCUGUACUCUAAUCAGUGGCAGUGAAACUGGACUGGAAAAGAAAGUGGGACAGAGAACAACUCCAAAUUAUGGACUUAGACUGUGUUGGUGAUGCUCUGUAAGCACUGAAUUCUGGAGGACCCAAGAUACAUGGGAGUUCAGCAAGACAAACUGCAUACAAGAUAAGCAUGCUAUUUUUACAGUAGAGUAAGAGUGGCACUGACAACCCUGAGAAGUCAUGCUUUCUAAUUGAACCAAAACUAUCUGAAUAAGGAAAGAAGGCAGUUGUGUCCCAAGAAACAUGAAUGGCCAAGGGACUCCAUCAUAUCCUUUUCUUACUCAUGUUAUUUCCUUAUAUUAGCCAAUCACUUGUGCUAAAAAUAAUGACAUAGAAGGAAAGGGAAAGAUAGGGUAAACCAUAAUCCCUUUGCCUUUCAAUUCUCCUCACUCAUUAGUACCUGGAAGUAGAGUGUGUUAAUAGAAUAUGCAAUAUCAAGAAGUAAAAUAAAAUCAAUCGAGUUGGCUUUGUGCAGCAUUUCACUGUUCUGGUAAGAAUGAAAUAUGUAUACAUGCACAAAGCACAAAAUACAAAUUGUGCAAUUUCAGUGAUUCUGCAUGUAGUUUAAGUGUUAUUAUAAUUGCGUUAGAUUUGGCAUUGUACAAAAUAAGAUGUACAAUAAAAUGCAUACUAAUGAUUAAAAA